rnacentral:rRNA from 1 species
GGUACGGGGUGUUAGGGCACGACACCGGAGAGGGAGCCUGAGAAACGGCUACCACAUCCAAGGAUGGCAGCAGGCGCGCAAAUUACCCAAUCCCGACACGGGGAGGUAGUGACAAUAAAUAACAAUACGGGGUUCUUUAGGAUCUCGUAAUUGGAAUGAGUACAAUUUAAAUCUCUUAACGAGGAACAAUUGGAGGGCAAGUCUGGUGCCAGCAGCCGCGGUAAUUCCAGCUCCAAUAGCGUAUAUUAAAGUUGUUGCAGUUAAAAAGCUCGUAGUUGAAUUUCGGGAUCAAUAUUUCGGUCAUGCCGUUGGUAUGCACUGUUAUCAUUGAUUUCUCACCUUCUAAAGAACCGUAAUGCCAUUAAUUUGGUGUUACGGGGAAUUAGGACUGUUACCUUGAAAAAAUUAGAGUGUUUAAAGCAGGCUCACGCUUGAAUACAUUAGCAUGGAAUAAUGAAAUAGGACAUCCGAUUCUAUUUUGUUGGUUUCUAGGAUCGACGUAAUGAUUAAUAGGGAUAGUUGGGGGCAUUAGUAUUCAAUUGUCAGAGGUGAAAUUCUUGGAUUUAUUGAAGACUAACUACUGCGAAAGCAUUUGCCAAGGAUGUUUUCAUUAAUCAAGAACGAAAGUUAGGGGAUCGAAGACGAUCAGAUACCGUCGUAGUCUUAACCAUAAACUAUGCCGACUAGGGAUCGGAUGAUGUUAAUUUUUUAAUGACUCAUUCGG